GUCGAGUGCAGACUGCCCAGUCCCCGCAACAGCAGAAAAAAAAAAGCCAAUCUCUACCCUUCUCUUUCCAUUCCCUAAUCCUUCCUCCCCUCUGCUCCAUUCAAACUCCAUCAAUGGCGGACCAUGAUCUCUCCUCCCCGCUCCUGCCGCCUCAACCCUCCGAUUCCCCCCACCUAGUCCUCAUCGUCACUGAUAACGACUCCGGUCAGCGAUCCUCCUCAAUCCAAUCUCAUAAUCACCACCACCAAAACAACAGCGGCAGCUUUAACAACAAUCACAGUUCACAUCUAAAUCACAAUUCUCGUAACCCGUUCGAGUUUCUCGGAUCGGAUGGGUUGUCCGUGCCCGGAGUGUCCACAAUAGAUCCAUUUCUGAACAAUACGCCCGAUAUUGAAGGGGCUUAUGAGGUGUUGAAGAUAUUAGUUUGCUUGCCGAUUGCUGUGGCGCGAUUGGUGCUUUUUGGGGUUUGUUUGUUGUUAGGGUUUAUUGCUACCAAAUUGGCUCUCCUGGGAUGGAAGGAUAAACAUAAUCCUAUGCCCAGAUGGCGCUCUAGGUUAAUGUGGGUCACCAGGAUUUGUGCCCGCUGCAUUCUCUUCGCCUUCGGCUACCAGUGGAUAAAAAGAAAGGGAAAGCCAGCUCCUAGAGAAAUUGCUCCGAUUGUUGUAUCAAAUCACGUAUCAUACAUCGACCCUAUCUUUUACUU
rnacentral:misc_RNA from 1 species